AUCUUUUUAAUAAAAAACAUUUCUAUUUCUUUAGUGUUAGUUCAUUCUUUCUCUGAUAAUAUGUAUUAGUUGAUUCUAUCUUGAAACGUUAACCAAAUGUAACUUUAUAGACCUUUCAUUGAGUUUUGGCUUGUGAUGAGAGCAAUACUUUAUCCUAUUUCUUCUAUCAACUAUAUAAGAACGUUUGACUGACUUCACUUUGGGUACUAGUAGGAAUUUUAUGUUCAAGUUUAUAGAGUUCCACAAUCUCCAUAAAUAAAUCACAAUCUCUAUAACUAAAACACAGAUUUGUGGGACGAGGAUUGGCAGGCGACAUAAGCUGGUUGAACGGAAGCAGAGCCCGCAGACAUUCACCAAACGUUUGGGCUGCAAAGUUGUGAGGUCUUGUGGUCGAAGAUGUGCAUGCAUGAUUGUCUAAAACUGUUGAGGAACUAUGGAGUGGAUGGGGGCUUCGCACAUUGAAGCUACGCAAUCUCUUUCUUCGAAUACUAUCGGAUUCUAACUUGGUACUGCUGUUCGUGGGUAAAUAACGCUUAAAACCAUGUUACCAAAGCUGAACAAUCAUCAAUCCUCAGCAGUGGCAACAUUAUCAUUGGGUAUCAUUGCUCUCAGCCGAGCCAACUCUGCAAAUCCGAAGUUGAUUCCAAUAAUUCGGCUUCCAACCCUACUUCUUCAGCUUGGUGGUCCUUGAAUUGUCACAGCUUAUUCUAUGGAAGACAACGAAUUAUAGCGAAGGCACCUUCUUGGUAGCAGUCCAAGUCGGGGUGGCUUCUUAUGUCUUGUUCAAGUUACGAAGCAGGCAUGCCAUCAUGCUAGUAGCCAUUCCCGUCUUUAUUUCAGGAAUAAUCAAGUAUGGAGAAAGGAUAUGGGCUUUCAGGUUAAUUAGCAAGUUCCCAGACUUUUGAGCACUACACAGACAAUCAAUUAUUCUUCCAGCCACGCUUCUGUUCUAGAACAUCGCUUCCGAGUUUGCAUAGAUAUCUCUAUGAAGCUCGUCUUUUGUUCAGGAUGCUGUUCACAAAUUUAGUUCUUGGCAUUGAUGAUCAAAAGAUAACCUACGAUUUGAUUUCGAAAAAGAAUACCAAAUUAAGAAGGCUUAAGUUGAUAGAAGUCCAGGUGGGAAUAUUCAUGUAUGAUCUGCACUAUUCUAAGGUGAGAAACGUUUCUUUUCCACGCAUCAUCCUCCAUUCUAUCACCUUCUUACCUCUGUUUCUGCAUUAGUUGCCUUCUCAACAAUAAGCACAAAGAAGAACGUGUAUUCUAACCCUUGAGUCCCCGAUACCAGUGAUUUCAACGUCCUAAAGCAGCUAUAAUAAUUAGCAGAGAGAGGUGACGUGGCACAUUUCGAGGCGAGGAUUUCUUUUAAAAAAUUGGAUGGAGUGUGGUUGGUGUAGAAUUCAUUAAUAGCCUCCUUUCUUGGCACAUUGUUACUCGUGUCUGUUAUUGCUUGGUCUGUGAUAAAUUGUGCCCUUGAGUGGGAGAAAAUAAAUAGCCAUGUAAUUAGUUCAUAUAAAAUUUUAAUGCUGUUAUAUUUUAGUGUAAGGUUUAUUUGUAAA